UCUCCGUUGGUGAACCAGCGGAGGGAUCAUUACAGAGCUGUUCUUUUACAGACUCCCAACCCAUGUGAACAUACCGAUGUUGCCUCGGCCGGAACGUCCGCCCCCUCCCGGGCGGCGGCCGGCCGCAGGACCCCUAAACUCUUGUUUAAUCUUGACCAUUCUGAAUUACAAAAACAAAUAAGUUAAAACUUUCAACAACGGAUCUCUUGGUUCCAGCAUCGAUGAAGAACGCAGC
rnacentral:misc_RNA from 1 species